AAGUCUUUCGAAGAGAGAUAUGGUUGAUGGACUAGAAGAGCAUGGCCUAUAUUGCUGUGUCGCGUGCGUCUUCCUCGAACCUUGAAAAUCUAUGCCAGGGCCACGUAGACAUUCUCAAUAGACCGUACCAAUAUCCGCAGCAGGUCUCCAAGGUUAAAAGUCUCUAGUCGAUAGAAUAAUGUAGGUAAGGGAAGUCGGCAA
rnacentral:rRNA from 1 species